rnacentral:rRNA from 1 species
GGUAAGUAUUGAUAUAAUAAAGCAGCUGCAUUUGCCAUAUUGGCAAUUUCAUCAUGUUCAUCCAUUAAUAAGCCACGCAGACUCGUUAAUAAGGUUUCAUAUUCAUUGUUCAUCAUUAUACUACCUCCAUGACAGUAUCGUAUCACAUUUUUCAUAAAGCGGAAAUGAAAAAAGCAUGUUCUGUGCAAGAUGAUGGAUAGCUAAAAAGAUAACUCAGGAUAAGUGCGUAAUACUGCUUAAUAAAUGGCUGUAUCAUUGGAUUUUAUCUUCAUCAUAAAAAAGUAUAUGUUUGUAUCUUUAUUCAUACUUCUUAUCUAUAGAGGCCCCCAGAAAAUGGGGCAUAGAAAAAAGAUAAGCUCUAUUCACAGAGCUCAUCUUCCAUUUUACUAAAUUUUGUAUAGGCUUUUGAGAUGUUCUUCUCAGAAUCUGAGGUCAUCUUAUACCAGCCUUGUUCUUUCAUCAUUUCAUAAACCUUGCGCUGUUGAGCAGAAAGAUCUUGAUAUAGCGUAUCUACUUCUUUAAAAAGUUCUUCAUUACUUGCUUCCUGUGAAAAAGUGUUGUAUUCACUCUUCAUAUGUUUCAAGGUUACUAACAGGUUGGUCGCAAUCUCUUUAUCGCUGUAAUUAUUAGUUGAUCCACUCAUUCUUUUACCUCCUUUUGCAAAAGUUCUACCAUUGUAUGAUAAUGUUUAGCAAGAUUCGUAUUGACCUCCUCAAAGCAGGUUUUCACUUCUUCAUUUUGAAUCAUUGUGACAUCAUUGGUAAUUCUUUUGUUUAAGACAAAGGUCUGAUCCAGCAGGUCUUCUAAAUAUAAGACAUCUUUAGGUGUUAACAUAGCAUCACACGCAUGAAACAUUGCUCAUGCUUCUCCUUUCAUUUCUAGUAUGGGAAGAGAUUGAAAAUGUAUUCUAUGAUUUUUUAUGAUAUUUUGCUAUAAUAAAAAAACGUUAGGAGGCAGACAUGGAAUUACAAGAAAAUCAAUAUGUAUAUAUUCAAAGUUAUAAACAUGAUGGCAGUCUGCAUCGGACAUGGGCAAUGGGAUACGUGCUUGAGGCAAAUGAAAAACGUAUCGUUGCUGUCACGAAUCGUACUUUGGUAAGUGAAUCAGACGGUCGUAAGUGGGUGACCAGAGAACCGGCAAUCUGCUUUUUCUAUCCAGAUAAAUGGUAUAAUGUCAUUUGCAUGAUUCGUAAAACCGGCAUUCAUUAUUAUUGCAAUCUAGCAUCGCCUAGUAUUUAUGAUGGUGAGGCAAUUAAGAAUAUUGAUUAUGAUUUGGAUGUGAAGGUAUCGCCAACAGGAAAAACGAUGUUGUUAGAUGAGGAUGAAUAUGAACAACAUGCAAGGGAAAUGGCAUACAGCAAAGCGUUGGAUCGUGCAAUUCAUAAAGGACUGGAUCGUUUGAUGGUGGAUAUUCGAUUGCGGAAUUCGCCUUUUGAACAUCAUGAAAUUAAUGCAUUGUAUGAGCGAUAUUUGGCAUGUAUGGAGUUGGAGAAGAAGCAGUGAUUUCAAAAAUGUAGUAAAACUGUGAACGGAUAAGUAUAGGUGACUUGUUGUAACGCAGCAAUAACGUAACUGAUAUUAUAUAGAUGACGUAUGUGAUGCAGGUGGUGGAUGCUUGAUCUUGCAUUAAAAACUUGAAAGAAUUAGGUAAAAUAAAAACAGCAAUAUAAAAAAAUGAAAAAACUAAAAAUUAUCGUUGACAUCGAAAAUAAAGUGUUGUAUUAUAUACGAGCGCUAAGCGAAAGCGAAGUGCAAAUCGGUCUUUGAAAACUGAACAGGAAACGUCAAUUUCAAUGAAAAAGAGAAGAAAUUCUCGGAUAAACAAAUAAGAAAAACGUUAGUAAACGUUUUGAGCUAAAUCAAAUGGAGAGUUUGAUCCUGGCUCAGGAUGAACGCUGGCGGCAUGCCUAAUACAUGCAAGUCGAACGAAGUCUUUAGGAAGCUUGCUUCCAAAGAGACUUAGUGGCGAACGGGUGAGUAACACGUAGGUAACCUGCCCAUGUGCCCGGGAUAACUGCUGGAAACGGUAGCUAAAACCGGAUAGGUAUGAGGGAGGCAUCUUCCUCAUAUUAAAGCACCUUCGGGUGUGAACAUGGAUGGACCUGCGGCGCAUUAGCUGGUUGGUGAGGUAACGGCCCACCAAGGCGAUGAUGCGUAGCCGACCUGAGAGGGUGAACGGCCACAUUGGGACUGAGACACGGCCCAAACUCCUACGGGAGGCAGCAGUAGGGAAUUUUCGUCAAUGGGGGGAACCCUGAACGAGCAAUGCCGCGUGUGUGAAGAAGGUCUUCGGAUCGUAAAGCACUGUUGUAAGUGAAGAAUGCCA